GACGAACGCUGGCGGCGUGCUUAACACAUGAAAGUCGAACGAAGUGGCGAACGGGUGAGUAACGCGUAAUCAACCUGCCCUUCAGAGGGGGACAAAAGUUGGAAACGACUGCUAAUACCGAAUACUGCAGGAGGGGAGUGCGGAUGAUUUGCUAGUUGGGGGGGUAACGGCCCCCCAAGGCGAUGAUCAGUAGCCGGGCUGAGAGGAUGAACGGCCACCUUGUGACUGCGACACGGCCCAGACUCCUACGGGAGGCAGCAGUGGGGAAUCUUCCGCAAUGGACGAAAGUCUGACGGAGCAACGCCGCGUGAGUGAUGACGGCCUUCGGGUUGUAAAGCUCUUUUAAUCGGGACGCGGUACCGGAAUAGAAAGCCACGGCUAACUACGUGCCAGCAGCCGCGGUAAUUC
rnacentral:rRNA from 1 species